rnacentral:precursor_RNA from 15 species
GGGAAUGAGGACCCACUCAGAUGGCGGAGUUAGCCCUUACCCCCCCGACUAAUAGUAUUAAUCUGUUAGGGUGGGGUAAGGUACUGCUCCUUCAUCUCACAUCACAUCACCCAUCAG